CCUACGGGGGGCAGCAGUGGGGAAUAUUGGUCAAUGGGCGCAAGCCUGACCCAGCAACGCCGCGUGAAGGAAGAAGGCUUUCGGGUUGUAAACUUCUUUUUUUAGGGAAGUGUAGAAGACUGUACCUGACGAAUAAGCCACGGCUAACUACGUGCCAGCAGCAGCGGUAAUACGUAGGUGGCAAGUGUUGUCCGGAUUUACUGGGUGUAAAGGGCGUGUAGGCGGGUUGACAAGUCAGAUGUGAAAUCCUGCGGCGUAACCGCAGAACUGCAUUUGAAACUGUUGAUCUUGAGUACAGGAGAGGUAGACGGAAUUCGUAGUGGAGCGGUGAAAUGCGUAGAUAUUAGGAGGAACACCAGUGGCGAAGGCAGUCUGCUGGACAGCAACUGACGGUGAGGCGCGAAAGCGUGGGGAGCAAACAGGAUUAGAUACCCGUGUAGUC
rnacentral:rRNA from 1 species